rnacentral:lncRNA from 1 species
CCUGGUUCCCAGUGUGCCCCAAGGAGCCGGGGUCCUUCAAGAUGAGACAUACCUGGACCUUCCACCCCGGCUGCGCUCACUGCUGUCUCACCUGGGCUGGACAAGGGGACACUCAGGGGCAUGUGUCUUACUGCCCCAGCUUCCUUUAAAGAUGACACAGCUAUGCUUCCCUUACUUGUUAAGCAUGAAAUUCAGUUAUUUUCCCCUCCCUAACCAGUCUCAGGACUCUCUAGACACCAAUUGGGCAUCCUGCAACUCAACUCUGGAAAUUUAUGCAGACCCUGUAGGUGGGUCCUUCUGUCACCUGCAUAUCGUCUGACAUGGCUGCAAACCCAGGGUUCCAUAGCCCACGUCGGUUCCACGCUCGCUGGAAUGGUUCACAGAAUUCAGGGGAGUGCUGGACUUGCCCUGAAUUAUUAUGAGGGAAUAAAUCAGGAAUGACAAAAUGCAACAGAUGCUCAUGUGAGGUAGGUGUGGGCAAUGGGCGUGUCCAGGCCCUCAGGGUGUGGUCCUUCAGCCCCUUCCUGUGCUGGCCAAAAGCUCCCUUAUGCCUGUUAUUCAGAGGGUUUGUGAGGUUCCAUUACGUGGUCAUGGUUGAUAAAUCACUGACUGCUAGUGACUGAACUAAGCCUCCAGCCCCUUUCCCUGUCCAGGGUCCCCAACCCUGGAAUCACUGCCUGAUCUCCUGGUGACCAGCCGUGUCCUGAAGCUGUCCAGAAACCACCUACAACCAUUGUUUCAUUAGCACGCCAGGGACAUGGCACACAUUUCAGGAGCUACAGGCCAGGAACGAGGGAAAAAGCGCAGGUAUCUGUUUUGUAUUGCGUCACAGAAACCCUGAUGUGGUCUGGGUGAGGCACAGGAACUGCACCACAGGACCACUUCCACGGGACUCCUCUGCAUGGUUCCUUAUUGAUCCUGCAUAUUCAGACUCUGUUAAAGCUGGAGAGAGAUGAACCGGCAGGUUCUGCUGUACUCAGAUGUACUCAGUGUCUCUCCUGCCUGCAGAACCUCACUGCAUGGUCUCUGUGCCUGAGCGGGGUCCUGACAUCAGGCUUCCUUUCCACCUUUGUCAAGAACCAGUGCAAGCCAAGGAGCACAAGGAUGACUGGCAAAACUUACCAGAGGUUGGAAGAGGCAUGGAAGUACCCUCUCUAGGUCCAAGGGGAGUAUGGCUCUGUUGACACCUUGAUUUCAGGACCUCACCUCCAGAACAGUGGGUCAAUGAAUUUCUGUUUUAAAAUACACGGUUUGUAGUACUUUGUUACUCAGCCCUAGGCUAAUACACUGCCUGAGUCUGAACUAAAGAUGCCAUUUGUUUCUCCCAAUCCAUCUUGCUAACCACAUCCACAUUCAAAAGACUACCCCAAUAUGGAGAUGAAGAGAAAUCGUGGAGAAAUAGUGGUAUAGUUUGGAUCUGAAGCAUCCCCUGAAGGCCAAUAUUCUGAAGACUUGGUCCCCAGCAUGAUGUAUUUGGGAAGUGGUGGUGCUAAUGGGAGGCUUUUAGGUGGAGGCAUGCCCUGGGGGUAGAUUAUGAGAUCCCAGUCUCUUCUUCUUUCUCUUCCACUUUCCAGCCACGAGGUGAACAGUUUUGGCCCAUCACCUCCUUCUGCCUUGAUGUGCUAUGCCAAAGCAAUGGGCCAGCUGAUCAUGAACUGAACCCUCUAAAACUGUGAGCCAGAGUGUUUUUCUCUUUAAAAGUUGACCAUUUUAGGGAUUGAGGUUGUGGCUCAGUGGUAGAGUGCUUGCCUAGCAUGUGUGAGGCACUGGGUUCAAUUCUCAGCACCACAUAUAAAUAAAUGUCUAUCAGCAACUAAAAUUUUUUUCUAAAAAGUUGAUCAUUUUAGGCAUUUUUUUUAUAGUGUCGGGGAGCUGACUAACACAAUACUGACUUUGAUCUGAGGAAGGGACCAAAGAACAUAGGUGGGGCAUCUGGAGGGCUGAGCUGCAAGUUCACAAGGGAGCCAGGUCAGGUCAGGUCAGGGGACCCAGGGACUGAGGACUAACUUGAUCUUGAGCACCCAACUCCCAAACUUUGUGACCAUCCCCUGGGGACAUUUCAGUCUGAGAGCACUGUUGUCUCUUCAGGAACAAGCAUCAGAUCUGAGACCCCCAGCAAAGUCUAUACCCCAUGCAAUGGGCAUUGCCCCCUUCUCACACACUACUGCUUACUUCUGAGGGAAAUCUCAGCACAUUAUAGUCCUGCUUCUGCUGGGAGGAAGGGGAGGCCUGAUUCCAGUCCCCUCUGGCAGCACAAGAAGGGGUGCAAUGACAGGGAAGAAAGGACCCCCAGCUGCAGGAGUGGCCCCUCUAUCUUCCCUGGGCUUGGCUGGGUCUCAAAAG